UUGAUUUCUUUCAGAAAUUAUCAGAACUGCAUCGGAGCUUCGUGCGAAAAUAGGAAAGCUGAAGAAAAGGAGGACGGAGGAAACCAAGCUCGCUAAAGUAGAGAAGGUUCAUACAAAUGGAGACAUCUCUCACCAUCACAAUGGUUUCUCUAAUGCUAAGCUGGAUGAUAUUCAAGAAUUUUUAUCUGGUUUGAAGAAGAUUUGAAGUUAUUUCACCAUGACUUCAAUCCUACUGUAUAUCAUGCUUGCUUACGAAGCUUGUCACUAUGAUCAGUUCUUCAAUGUUUAAACUUUAUUUAGCAGUUAUGAGAUAUUCUAUACCAAAUUUGUAUGAUAUAUCAUUUUGGAUCGAUGACUAUCCUCAAUAAAUCUCCUUAGAGAGUUUGCAGAUGAGUUGCCUCAA